rnacentral:rRNA from 1 species
AUUGAACGCUGGCGGCAUGCCUUACACAUGCAAGUCGAACGGUAACAGGGAGCUUGCUCCGCUGACGAGUGGCGAACGGGUGAGUAAUGUAUCGGAACGUACCUUUUAGUGGGGGAUAACGUAGCGAAAGUUACGCUAAUACCGCAUAUUCUCUGAUGAGGAAAGCAGGGGACCUUCGGGCCUUGCGCUAAUUGAGCGGCUGAUAUCAGAUUAGCUAGUUGGUGAGGUAAAGGCUCACCAAGGCGACGAUCUGUAGCGGGUCUGAGAGGAUGAUCCGCCACACUGGAACUGAGACACGGUCCAGACUCCUACGGGAGGCAGCAGUGGGGAAUUUUGGACAAUGGGGGCAACCCUGAUCCAGCCAUGCCGCGUGAGUGAAGAAGGCCUUCGGGCUGUAAAGCUCUUUCGGCCGGGAAAAAAUCGCAUGGGUUAAUACCCUGUGUGGAUGAUGGUACCGGAAUAAGAAGCACCGGCUAACUACGUGCCAGCCGCCGCCGUAA